UACGAAGGGGGCUAGCGUUGUUCGGAAUCACUGGGCGUAAAGGGCGCGUAGGCGGCCGAUCAAGUCGGGGGUGAAAGCCUGUGGCUCAACCACAGAAUUGCCUCGAUACUGGUUGGCUUGAGACCGGAAGAGGUAAGUGGAACUGCGAGUGUAGAGGUGAAAUUCGUAGAUAUUCGCAAGAACACCAGUGGCGAAGGCGGCUUACUGGUCCGGUUCUGACGCUGAGGAGCGAAAGCCAGGGGAGCCAACGGG
rnacentral:rRNA from 1 species